UUCCAGAGAGUUUGCUAUUCAUAUAGCUGAACAGUUUGAGGCUUUUAUGAUCCGGAAUUGGAGUAAGUUGUGCAUUGUUUGAAGCUUUAGGAGUGAGAUGUGCAGUAGUAAGCCUUUAUAUCUCUUUUUUAGGUGAAGUAGAAAUGGAUAUACCGAUUGUAAUCUAUUUGCCAAUAAUUAGGUUUUAAAUUCGCUAAUAAAUGAGGCAGAGUUGGUGUCGUAAUAUUCAUAUGGAAGUGCAUGCUAAGUGGCUAGCGAAGGAGCAUCUGUUGUACUGACGGUAGUCUACUGGCUAUGCUGAGUAAAAGUCACUCCCAGUUGAAACUCCACGCUCUCUCCAAUCUCAAUGCCUCUGUUGAUUACUUCUGCCCGGAGAUUUCUACAUCAGUCACUGUCAUCUGGAAGUUUUGGGGGAAGAGCUCUUCGUUCAGUUACGACAUAUGAACAGGAAGGGUUAUGAACAAGAAAGGUUAUGGCACUAGACUGGUGAAUCACUUAAAGCAGGUGGCACGUGUUAUGGAUGGGCUUAACUCAUUCUCAAACAUAAGUCGAUGCUAUUGUUCGCAUUUUGUUUCAUAUUUGUUGCCAUCUGUACUCAUAUGUGAUCAUAUUUAUGAACUACUUAUAAUUUCAUAACUAAACCAUACUUUAUUUGUCAUUUUCUCUCUAAUUUAUGGGAGUUCUAAGUUGAAAGACAUUUGAAAACUUUAUUUUUGCUCGUGCCGAGAAGACUGCACUAGGGCAAUUCUUAUUUACAAGUUUAUGAAGGCAGUGUUUAG